rnacentral:rRNA from 1 species
CCUACAGGCGGCAGCAGUGAGGAAUAUUGGUCAAUGGCCGCAGGGCUGAACCAGCAAAGUCGCGUGAGGGAUGACGGUCCUAUGGAUUGUAAACCUCUUUUGUCAGGGAGCAAAGGGCGCCACGUGUGGCGCUUUGCGAGUACCUGAAGAAAAAGCAUCGGCUAACUCCGUGCCAGCAGCCGCGGUAAUACGGAGGAUGCGAGCGUUAUCCGGAUUUAUUGGGUUUAAAGGGUGCGCAGGCGGAAUGUCAAGUCAGCGGUAAAAUUUCGGGGCUCAACCCCGUCGUGCCGUUGAAACUGGCGUUCUUGAGUGAGCGAGAAGUAUGCGGAAUGCGUGGUGUAGCGGUGAAAUGCAUAGAUAUCACGCAGAACUCCGAUUGCGAAGGCAGCAUACCGGCGCUCAACUGACGCUCAUGCACGAAGGCGUGGGUAUCGAACAGGAUUAGAUACCCCGGUAGUC